rnacentral:rRNA from 1 species
GGUGAAUACGUUCUCGGGUCUUGUACACACCGCCCGUCACACCAUGGAAGUGGAUUGCACCAGAAGUAGAUAGUCUAACCUUAGGGAGGGCGUUUACCACGGUGUGCUUCAUGACUGGGGUGAAGUCGUAACAAGGUAGCCGUAGGGGAACCUGUGGCUGGAUCACCUCCUU